GGUGGAGGUUCAGGAGGCGGCGUUGGUAGGGGCCGAGGAUAAAACCAGAACCUACGAAAGGUGAGGCGAUUCGAACUUCCUCUCGUUCGGGGCACGCGGACUUUCUUCGUCAAUCGGCGAGAAAGAGUCGAAGUCGAAGAAUUGAUCGAGUGUGGCAGAGACCGGAUUUGCAUCGAGUUCGCGGCUGAUUGCUCGUAAUUAGCGACGCGUGGCCCGCGCCCACGUCGGGUCACAUCGCCAUGGCAGACGAGGAGGACGAUCCUUGCUAACGAACCGUGCACAGAGGUCGUUCGUGCGCCACGCGCAAUGUACGAUACCUACGCAUCCACGUACACGCGUGCAAACGAUCAACGCGAUUCAUUCCGUGCCCGAUGUCUCUCGAUACACGCUGACUUUGCGAAAGUUGGACAGAUUUGCGAUACUGGCGGCCGAAUGGACGAUGAAAAUUUCUUGAAGACGGGGAAAAAAGCGUUUUGUUAUGGGUAUUGAGCUUUUGCCUUUAGUAGGUGAGGCGUCUAUGUUUAUGGAGAUAUUUAUUUGAGGUUAUGUUGUCGGGAUCGUAUCCGUGAUUGUAAUUUGAGAGGAUUAUAAAAUGUGGGCUUUGGAUAUGAAAUUUUUAAUAGAAUCGACUAAUUUAAUAGAAUUGGCUUAAAUAAAAUAUUGAAGCCAGGUCAGAUUAUUCUAAUACGUAUAUAACUUUUCGUAUAUAUUUCCAGAUAUAUUUGUGUAAUAAAUUCUCAUUUUAAUAUUCUAAUGGUAAAAACAAGAUACUCGAUAUUUUAUAUUUCGUUCUUCAAUUUCAAGAAUAAUCGAAUGAAUUAUAUUAGAAACAAAUAAUCGUAAAGACAUUAUUUUAAGAAUUGAGAAGGAAGGGGAAAUAUUUUUAUCAGAGAAAUUAAAAAGAGAAACAGAUAUUCGAUCGAUAACGUUUCGAAUGAUAGAAAUUAAUAUUUGGUCUGUGAAAAUUACUCGUCUCUGGUGAAUUUUUCUUUAUGCACUUCGUUAUACCGAUAUCUAAUAGCAAUUUGUCCGGGCAAAAGUUGAAAAAAAUAAAUGUGAUAUUUCAUCGAA